GACUUGGUGGCGCAACUGGUAGCGCGCGCAUUUAUAGUACUGUGUAAAGUGACAGCGACCCAUAAUCUAUAAAUGCGAGACCCUCGUUCGAUUCGAGGUCAGGCCG